AGACCGGGGCAUGAUCAGUACGGCGAGUGAAGCGGCAAGAGCUCAAAUUUGAAAUCUGGCCCCUCCGGGGUCCGAGUUGUAAUUUGGAGAGGAUGCUUCGGGCUCGGUCCCCAUCUAAGUGCCCCUGGAACGGGCUGUCAUAGAGGGUGAGAAUCCCGUAUGGGAUGGGCGGCCGUGCCCGUGUGAAGCUCCUUCGACGAGUCGAGUUGUUUGGGAAUGCAGCUCUAAGCGGGUGGUAAAUUUCAUCUAAAGCUAAAUACUGGCCGGAGACCGAUAGCGCACAAGUAGAGUGAUCGAAAGAUGAAAAGCACUUUGAAAAGAGAGUUAAACAGCACGUGAAAUUGUUGAAAGGGAAGCGUUGGCCACCAGACGCGCCCGGGGGGGCUCAGCCGGCACGUGUGCCGGUGUACUCCCCCCCGGACGGGUCAGCAUCGGUUUGGGCGGUCGCUGAAAGGCUCUGGGAAUGUAGCACCCUCCGGGGUGCCUUAUAGCCCAGGGUGUCAUGCGGCCCGCCUGGACCGAGGUUCGCGCUUCGGCGAGGAUGCUGGCGUAAUGGUGGUCAACGGCCCGUCUUGAAACGGGAACAAAA
rnacentral:rRNA from 1 species